rnacentral:rRNA from 1 species
CACGUAGGGGGCAAGCGUUGUCCGGAAUCAUUGGGCGUAAAGAGCUCGUAGGCGGCUCAGUAAGUCGGGUGUGAAAGCCCUCAGCUCAACUGAGGAAGUGCGCCCGAAACUGCAGAGCUUGAGUGCCGGAGAGGGUGGCGGAAUUCCCCAAGUAGAGGUGAAAUUCGUAGAUAUGGGGAGGAACACCGGUGGCGAAGGCGGCCACCUGGACGGUAACUGACGCUGAGGCGCGAAAGCGUGGGGAGCAAACAGG